rnacentral:rRNA from 1 species
UGGGGAAUAUUGCACAAUGGGCGCAAGCCUGAUGCAGCAACGCCGCGUGAACGAUGAAGGUCUUCGGAUCGUAAAGUUCUGUUGCAGGGGAAGAUAAUGACGGUACCCUGUGAGGAAGCCCCGGCUAACUACGUGCCAGCAGCCGCGGUAAUACGUAGGGGGCUAGCGUUAUCCGGAUUUACUGGGCGUAAAGGGUGCGUAGGUGGUCCUUCAAGUCGGUGGUUAAAGGCUACGGCUCAACCGUAGUAAGCCGCCGAAACUGGAGGACUUGAGUGCAGGAGAGGAAAGUGGAAUUCCCAGUGUAGCGGUGAAAUGCGUAGAUAUUGGGAGGAACACCAGUAGCGAAGGCGACUUACUGGACACAAAUCUGACGCUGAGGAACGAAAGCGUGGGUAGCAAACAGG